rnacentral:rRNA from 1 species
AUGAACGCUAGCUACAGGCUUAACACAUGCAAGUCGAGGGGCAGCAUGGUCUUAGCUUGCUAAGGCCGAUGGCGACCGGCGCACGGGUGAGUAACACGUAUCCAACCUGCCGUCUACUCUUGGACAGCCUUCUGAAAGGAAGAUUAAUCCAGGAUGGCAUCAUGAGCCCACAUGUUCUCAUGAUUAAAGGUAUUCCGGUAGACGAUGGGGAUGCGUUCCAUUAGAUAGUAGGCGGGGUAACGGCCCACCUAGUCGACGAUGGAUAGGGGUUCUGAGAGGAAGGUCCCCCACAUUGGAACUGAGACACGGUCCAAACUCCUACGGGAGGCAGCAGUGAGGAAUAUUGGUCAAUGGGCGAGAGCCUGAACCAGCCAAGUAGCGUGAAGGAUGACUGCCCUAUGGGUUGUAAACUUCUUUUAUAAAGGAAUAAAGUCGGGUAUGCAUACCCGUUUGCAUGUACUUUAUGAAUAAGGAUCGGCUAACUCCGUGCCAGCAGCCGCGGUAAUACGGAGGAUCCGAGCGUUAUCCGGAUUUAUUGGGUUUAAAGGGAGCGUAGAUGGAUGUUUAAGUCAGUUGUGAAAGUUUGCGGCUCAACCGUAAAAUUGCAGUUGAUACUGGAUGUCUUGAGUUCAGUUGAGGCAGGCGGAAUUCGUGGUGUAGCGGUGAAAUGCUUAGAUAUCACGAAGAACUCCGAUUGCGAAGGCAGCCUGCUAAUCUGCGACUGACAUUGAGGCUCGAAAGUGUGGGUAUCAAACAGGAUUAGAUACCCUGGUAGUCCACACGGUAAACGAUGAAUACUCGCUGUUUGCGAUAUACAGCAAGCGGCCAAGCGAAAGCGUUAAGUAUUCCACCUGGGGAGUACGCCGGCAACGGUGAAACUCAAAGGAAUUGACGGGGGCCCGCACAAGCGGAGGAACAUGUGGUUUAAUUCGAUGAUACGCGAGGAACCUUACCCGGGCUUAAAUUGCAACCGAAUAUAUCGGAAACGUUAUAGCUAGCAAUAGCGGUUGUGAAGGUGCUGCAUGGUUGUCGUCAGCUCGUGCCGUGAGGUGUCGGCUUAAGUGCCAUAACGAGCGCAACCCUUGUCUAUAGUUACUAACAGGUCAUGCUGAGGACUCUAUGGAGACUGCCAUCGUAAGAUGUGAGGAAGGUGGGGAUGACGUCAAAUCAGCACGGCCCUUACGUCCGGGGCUACACACGUGUUACAAUGGGGGGUACAGCAGGCAGCUACCGGGCGACCGGAUGCUAAUCUCCAAAACCCCUCUCAGUUCGGAUUGAAGUCUGCAACCCGACUUCAUGAAGCUGGAUUCGCUAGUAAUCGCGCAUCAGCCACGGCGCGGUGAAUACGUUCCCGGGCCUUGUACACACCGCCCGUCAAGCCAUGGGAGCCGGGGGUACCUGAAGUACGUAACCGCAAGGAGCGUCCUAGGGUAAAACUGGUGACUGGGGCU